AUGAGUCUGUUGACCAAGCUUACACUGUCAUGUACAUCUUACAUUUGUACUUUGAAUUUGGGGAAUUUUGUGGGGGGGGGGGGGUGGGGGGUGCUUUUAAUCGAAUCUCUUCCUAGAAUUCACAGUUUGCAGAGCGGAUUAGGUAGACAUGGCUUGGGUAGCGCUUUUGAGGACGGAGCCUCCAGUGGAUGUGGCCCUUCCUGGCAGCUAGUGCAACAUGUUCGUCUGGGGUGUCAAGCCGCGAGACAGCAAAGAUUCCAAAGGCCUCAAAGUAAACCAAGUUGUUCUGUAAGAUUUAAAGACCCAAAACCUCAAAACGGGUGGUCCAUCUGUUUAUCGGCCCUAACGGAGCAAAGCUGCUACAUACAGGCAUCACGUGGUUUUAAACAAUUUCAAACGGCAAGUAAUUGGUAUUCUUGUAAAUGAUUGAUUGGUUUAUUAUUGUGCAACUAACUGUACUCCCUUUUGUGUUGCUAUAAUGGUAAAUAAAGUUUGGGACAAUCUCA
rnacentral:lncRNA from 1 species